rnacentral:rRNA from 1 species
AUGUGUUCUACCCGACAAAUUCGUGGCUGGUUGCAUGAUUGCAAAGUUGCCUCCUUCAUGGAGGAAUUUCGCCACAACUCUGAAUUCAACAAGGCUGAGCUAGAGUGCUACGCCUGUGGGAAGCCUGGACACUUUUCCAAGGAAUGCCCUGAACGUGCAGACCGCAGAGGGAAAACAAGCUCCAAGACUGUCAACAUGGUGACCGCUAGCAAUACUGAUGGGUAUGGUCGCAAGGGAUUCUUCCGUCCUAAUGGGGAAUGGGUCACAUGCUUCUGUUCGUGGCAUUGGCACGGUGGAUCUGAAGUUUACUUCGGGAAAGAUCGUGCAACUAAGGAACGUGCAGCAUGUCCCUACUAUGAACAAGAAUCUAGUUCUAAGUGCCAUAGUUGUGUGCAAUCUAAGCAACCUCGAAAGCCUCAUAAGGCUGCCGAGGAGAGAAACUUGGCACCUCUAGAACUCAUACAUUCUGAUCUUUGUGAGAUGAAUGGUGUGUUGACAAAAGGUGGAAAGAAAUAUUUCAUGACUUUGAUUGAUGAUGCGACUAGAUUUUGCUAUGUUUAUCUGUUGCAAACUAAAGAUGAAGCAUUAGACUACUUUAAAAUCUAUAAAGCUGAAAUUGAAAAUCAACUAGAGAGAAAGAUCAAGCGUCUUAGGUCCGAUCGUGGUGGAGAGUAUUUUCCAAAAGUUUUUGAUGAAUUUUGUGAGGAACAUGGUAUUAUUCAUGAGAGGACGCCUCCCUAUUCACCUCAAUCAAAUGGAGUGGCCGAGAGGAAAAACCGCACAUUGACUGACUUGGUGAAUGCCAUGUUAGACACUGCUGGUUUAUCAAAGGCAUGGUGGGGGGAGGCUCUAUUGACUUCAUGUCAUGUCCUGAAUAGAGUUCCCAACAAUAAUAAAGAGAAAACCCCUUAUGAGAAGUGGGUUGGGAGAAAACCAUCACUUUCUUAUUUGCGCACUUGGGGAUGUUUGGCAAAGGUCAAUAUUCCUAUUCCUAAGAAACGCAAACUUGGACCAAAGACAGUGGAUUGUGUCUUUCUAGGGUAUGCUCAACGGAGCAUUGCUUAUAGGUUUUUAGUGGUAAAAUCUGAAGUACCUGAUAUGCAUGUUGAUACUAUAAUGGAAUCUCGUGAUGCAACAUUUUUUGAGAACAUAUUUCCUAUGAAAGAUAUGCAUAGCAUUGCUAGAUUUUCUUCUGAGAUAAUUCCUGAAUCUAGUACAACUGAUGAAUAUUUCGAACAAUCACAUGAGGAAGUCCUUGAGAAGGAUAACAAUAAAGUUCCUAGAAGGAACAAGAGACAAAGGAUUGCAAAAUCUUUUGGUGAUGAUUUCAUUGUAUACCUUGUGGAUGACACACCCAAGACGAUUGCAGAAGCAUAUGCAUCUCCGGAUGUAGAUGAUUGGAAAGAAGUUGUUCACAAUGAGAUGGACUCAAUUCUUUCUAAUGGAACUUGGGAACUAACUAAUAGACCAUAUGGUUGUAAACCUAUAGGCUGUAAGUGGGUGUUCAAAAAGAAGCUAAAGCCUGAUGGUACUAUUGAUAAGUACAAAGCGCGGCUAGUGGCCAAGGGCUACACUCAGAAAGAAGGCGAAGAUUACUUUGACACCUAUUCACCCGUUGCUAGAAUGACCACCAUUCGAGUGUUACUUUCCUUGGCUGCCUCUUAUGGUCUUAUCAUUCAUCAAAUGGAUGUAAAGACAGCUUUUCUCAAUGGAGAGUUGGAAGAGGAGAUCUAUAUGGAUCAGCCUGACGGGUUUGUGGUAAAGGGUGAAUAA